rnacentral:lncRNA from 1 species
GAGACCUAGCUCUGUUUUGUGACCCCUGGGAAGCUGCUUGGCCUCUCUGGGCCUCCAUUUUCCAGCUGUGAAAUGAAAAUAACAACAGAGAAUCUUCCUUGAAGGAUUAUUUUGAGGAUGAGUUGAAAUAAUGCGUGCCUGGUUCAUUGAUAACCCAAUACAUGUUAGGCAUGAUUGGAAGAGGGAAGCCACUGUGAUGGAGUGAUGAUUCUCAGGUGAGCAUUUGAGAAGCCACCUCGCUUGCAGCUGGAUGUGGCCAUGUGACUGAGUUCUGCCAAUGGUGAGUGAACAGAGAAUCCACAUCAGAGCUCAAGAUGUAAAGAGCCAGAUCCCUGGCUGACCAUGGGGAAGAAUAUCUCUAAGGCUCAUUUUUCUCAUCUGUAAAU